UCAGGCUCAGGACACCUAGAGACGAGCGGUACGGAAAAAGGCCUCUGUGACACAGGUCCCUGCUGGCACCUACUGUACGAGCAGGAAAACACCUAGACAGAAGGGAUGCAUGGACCUUCCUACCAAUGAGUCCUUUCCUCCACUACUGAGGGCUUUGAACACCUUGGGCAGAGGAGCAGCUUCAAAGGUAAGCUCCAGGCUUACAUCGUGCUCUCCAGACCCACAGGACCAGACACAACUGCACAUCCCUUCCAGCCUGGAGACUGGGUCUGUGUUAAAGGUGGGACAGUGAUCUUCUACAAGCCAGGUGGAGAGGACAAUUCCACAUUCUGCUGUCCACCCUCACCUCAGUCAAAGUUGCUGGCAAAGGACCCUGGAUUCACUACUCAGAGUUAAGAAAGCUUCUGCUGCUGAAACAACUGUAAAAACAGAGACUGAUGCAGACAAAAACCUGCUUUAAAUGAUUCUUCUUCUGUGCCUAAAGAAUUGUUCACAAUCAUUAUGAUUCUCUUUGCAUAAUACCUGACUGUGCAUGACAUUACUGCUGUUAGAUAUUUACUAUUGUUAGAUAUUUAUUGUUCUUAGACAUUUAUCUAUUAUUAAAUACCUAUUAUUAGUAGAUAUUUAGAACAGAGACUUGACAAGGUAGAGGCUUUGUCAAUCCUCUAAAGGGGGGAAAUAAUGCCUUAAGUUUUGGCUUUCAUGUUUUCCAGAUUCUCUACUGCAUUAGUGUGUAACUCUGAACUUCAUACAGGGUGUCAGCAGGUUCUGUUCACAGCUCAGGCACACACAACAAUCCUCCUGCAGCCCCAGAACCAAGGACACCA